rnacentral:tRNA from 1 species
GGUUGUGGCUUAGCAGUAGAGCACUCGCCUAGAACGUGUGAGGUGCUGAGUUCGAUCCUCAGAACCA